GCCUGGUCCGAUGGUAGUGGGUCAUCAGAACUUAUUAACAUUAGUGUCACUAAAGUUGGUAUACAACCCCCCACUGCUAAAUUUGGCAAAAAA
rnacentral:Y_RNA from 1 species